AUACGUAGGGGGCGAGCGUUGUCCGGAAUGACUGGGCGUAAAGGGCGUGUAGGCGGCCGAUUAAGUCUGGAGUGAAAGUCCUGCUUUCAAGGUGGGAAUUGCUUUGGAGACUGGUUGGCUUGAGUGCGGAAGAGGUAAGUGGAAUUCCCAGUGUAGCGGUGAAAUGCGUAGAGAUUGGGAGGAACACCAGUGGCGAAGGCGACUUACUGGGCCGUAACUGAUGCUGAGUCGCGAAAGCGUGGGGAUCGAACAGGAUUAGAUACCCUGGUAGUCCACGCUGUAAACGAUGAAUGCUAGGUGUAGGGGGUAUCGACCCCUCCUGUGCCGGAGUAAACGCAAUAAGCAUUCCGCCUGGGGAGUACGGCCGCAAGGUUGAAACUCAAAUGAAUUGGCGGGG
rnacentral:rRNA from 1 species